UGAUCAUGCGCAGUAGCGUCACUUCCGGCAAGGUGCAUUGUGGGAUAUAACGCCUCAUUUGGUGGGCGCCAUUUUGUUCGCGAGCAAUGGCGUCUCUUCCGGCGGAGGGGAUUGUGGGAUAUCACUGAGACCGCCUUCUUAUUUCCGGUUCCGGCUGUGGGGGGUGCAGUUCGGUUUCCGGCUGUCCGUUUCCGGUGUUUUCGCCAUGGGUUGCGGGGGGUUCUGGGGUCCCGGUUGGAACCGGAACCGGCCGCUUAUUUACAACGGGAGUCACGAGGAGAUGGGGGAGGAGCCAGAGGGAACCCGGCGCCCCAUAGAGACCCACUGAGCCCCAUAGAGCCCCACAGUGAGGCUAUAAGGGUACGCAGCGCCAUUUUGGGGCCAAAUUCAGGUCACAGAACGGACCAACGUGAAACUGGAUGGAAGAAUGCGGGGACAGUUUAUCUGCAAAUUAGUCCUGAACAUCACGUAACACCUGGGAGCCUCUGGGGGAUCUGAGGGGCAAGAUCAUCCAGUCCAACCGUUCACCUAUUACCAACAGCUCCACUAACCCACGUCCCUCAGCGCAACAUCCAAUUGUUCCUUGAACACCCCCAGGGUCGGUGACUCCACCAGCUCCCUGUGCAGUCCAUUCCACUGCCCGACCACUCUUUACGAGAAGGAAUUUUUCCUCCGUUCCAGCCUGAAUCUCCCCUGCCGCAGCUCAAAACCAUUCCCUCUGCUCCUCUCACUAGUGACCCAAGAGAAGAGGCUGACCCCCAGCUCCCUACAACUUCCCUUCAGGAAGUUCUAGAGAGCAAAUGCAUUCUGAACUAGACGUCACCUGUGAGCGAGGCAGGAUGGAACCCUCACAGCACAGACAUGGGCUGUGCUCCAAGCCAAUGUUAGAACGCCCCUUCUGUGGGAAUGGCUUUCUGUGGUUUUUGGACAACAUUUCUUAUUAUUACAGAACAAACAUAGACCACAAUGCUGCACCCACAUUCCACACUCUCCCUCACAUUAUUUGCUGUCAGUGGCAAAUGCCCACGGUUUGGGAAGCAUCCCAAGGGAGCCUAUCUUCACUGCUCACUUUGUUGAAGAAACAUAAACACUGGCAGAAAACACAGCAAACCUGGGCUAAUUAAAGAAAACCACAUAAGUGGUGCUGUAGUGUUUUUAUUUUAAACCUCUUCACGCAAGGAACCAUGUUGGAAUGCAAGGUGCUGGACACUUUACACAACAUACACUGACAACAUCACUCGUUCCAUUUGCCUUUGUAAAAUGGUUUAGGAAAGUUUUCACUGAAUCCCUACGUACACAAACUGUUAGAGAGGGGUAGAAAUCAAACAACUGACAAAAUAGAAACACCAAAGAAUCUAAGAUGGACUUCUGGCAUUUUAAAACACACAAGUCUCAUGGACAAUUCAACUCUUAUUUUUUUUGCGCUGCGGAAGAGCUAGACAGAGGUCAGACAAAGGGAUUUGAAUAUUUGAAGAAAUACAUAAAUAUCAGUACAUUUGCAGCUGAGAUGAACAAAAUCCUUUUUCCUGCCAUUCUCGUAGACGCUCCUGCCUCUGGAACAAGGACCUGCCUGCAGGAUCCCACUUUGCAACUGCAAGCCAGUAGCAGGAGGGGAUCACAACUAGCACAAUAUGGACAUGAAAAUUACUGACCCCAUGCAGAUUUACCACCACUGCUACUUCUUUUGUCAACCAAGUGAAAACACUUUGGAAAGUUCAGUGAGCACUUCCAAUAGAAUUAAAAUACACUAAAACAAUUUGAAAAAGUCUGAUUUCUGAAUGAUUUCUAUAUAUGCAUAUGAGCAGCCUGGCUUUUUCAGGUAUGGUGGUUUGUUGUUU